rnacentral:rRNA from 1 species
UACAGAGGUCCCAAGCGUUGUUCGGAUUCACUGGGCGUAAAGGGUGCGUAGGUGGCUGGGUAAGUUUGAUGUGAAAUCUCCGGGCUUAACCCGGAAAUGGCAUUGAAUACUAUUGAGCUGGAGGUUUGGAGGGGGACUGGAAUUCUCGGUGUAGCAGUGAAAUGCGUAGAUAUCGAGAGGAACACCAGUGGCGAAGGCGAGUCCCUGGACAACACCUGACACUGAGGCACGAAAGCUAGGGGAGCAAACAGGAUUAGAAACC